UACAGAGGGUGCGAGCGUUGUCCGGAAUCACUGGGCGUAAAGGGCGCGUAGGCGGUCUCUUAAGCGUGUGGUGAAAGCCCGGGGCUCAACUCCGGGUCGGCCGUGCGAACUGGGGGACUGGAGCUUGUCAGAGGCAGGCGGAAUUCCGGGUGUAGCGGUGGAAUGCGUAGAGAUCCGGAAGAACACCGGUGGCGAAGGCGGCCUGCUGGGACAGUGCUGACGCUGAGACGCGAAAGCGUGGGGAGCGAACAGG
rnacentral:rRNA from 1 species